UACGUAGGGGGCGAGCGUUGUCCGGAGUUACUGGGCGUAAAGGGCGUGUAGGCGGUUGGACAAGUCUGGUGUGAAAUGCAUUGGCUUAACCGGUGCGCUGCGCUGGAAACUGUCUGACUGGAGUUCGGGAGGGGUCACUGGAAUCCCCGGUGUAACGGUGAAAUGUGUAGAUAUCGGGGGGAACACCUGUGGCGAAGGCGGGUGACUGGACCGAAACUGACGCUGAUACGCGAAAGCGUGGGGAGCAAACAGG
rnacentral:rRNA from 1 species